rnacentral:rRNA from 1 species
UACAUGGGGUGCAAACGUUGCUCGGAAUUAUUGGGCGUAAAGCGCGCGUAGGCGGUUACUCAAGUCGGAUGUGAAAGCCCUCGGCUUAACUGAGGAAGUGCACCCGAAACUGAGUAGCUAGAGUACUAAAGAGGGUCGCGGAAUUCCCGGUGUAGAGGUGAAAUUCGUAGAUAUCGGGAGGAACACCGGUGGCGAAGGCGGCGACCUGGUAGAUACUGACGCUGAGGCGCGAAGCGUGGGAGCAAACAGG